UCACCUGCCCGAGGGCAGAGCGGGAAGCUCCGCCCCUCGCGGAACCCCGGCCUGUGCGCAGUUCCCGUGCCCUAGGAGUUGGCGGCGGGGCCCAGCCGAGAAUCUUCUUCCCUUCUGGUCUGACUAGGAAAGCCAGAGGGAGAUGGUGAAGGAGACACAGAGAGAGUAAAAGAACAGACCAUGCCCAGCCUCUCCACUGCAGGAGCUUGGAAUCAGGACUGUGAGCUUCAUGGAGACAAGAAACUGUGCUUUUUUUCUCCUUCCUGUGAAUGAAUCCCAUUGCAGCUUUGAUUGUGGUUGAAUCACCUAUGGAAGCCAUGCAUCUUCAGCAUGUAGCACAUAAUGGACACUCAGCAAAUGACAACUGAAUGAGCAAACUAAUUACUCUGACCUUGAGCAGUGACUUGUGUGACCUCUGGCAAUUGGUUCACCAUCUGAAUCCCUCAGCUAGAUACCUCCCUCUAAUGCUGCUCCUCCAUCGACAGGCAUUCCUCAGCGGUCAGUUGUUUCCCAGCCAGAGCCCGCACUGGCACUGAUGUCUGCUAUUAUCACUGGAGAGGCCCCGGGACUUCACUUGAUGCUAUCCCACUGGGAUGACUGAGAAGAAGUAGGAGAAAAUCAAGCAAAAGCGUGGGCUCGUCUAAGUGUUUCCUCAUCUGUUUCUUGGUAUCUUCCUUGCUUCCCUGCUUCUCCCAGCCCCAGACUUCCUUGUCUUCUCUCUUCCAUCCAGAAAGACACACAUGCCCCUUCUAAGUAUCACUUUAGGGCUGAAGUCCAAAGUCUUCUCUUAGCUGAAAUUCACUGUGCACUUGCCACUUGGCAGAGACUGCAAACAGCUCAGUGCGUGUUUUCAUAGUCAGCAUUAAAAUAAUAAUUGCCACAACACUAUUAAAGUUUUCCUCAUUGUUGUAACUGUUGGCAAAGGCAAAUGUCUGGGGAGAUUGACUCCCUGGAAAGCUUCAUUAUGCUGCGAGAAUAUUUUUGAUAAAAUUUCAGCAGUUCCUGACUGUCAACUUCACUAUGUGGUUUUUUUUAAAGUUGUCCCCCACCCCUCUCUAACAGGUCCUCCAAUUCACAAAAACAUUCAGGUCAGUUGUUGAGUAACUGAAUCUUUCCAAGUAAUUAACAGGUAGAAUUACCAGGUAGCAGGCAGUGUUUGCUUGUAAUCCGUCAAUAGUAGUUGCAGUGGGGCUAAUUGUCAUCUUGAGUGGCCCUGCAACCACAUCUAAUUAAAAGUGUCAACAGAGAGUUAUUUCUGUCUUUUGUUCCCACUGCUAGGUUGUACGUGUUUACUUCAGAAAUCCAGGCUCAAAGUAAGACAGAUAUUUGGAACAUGUGAAUAUACAGGAAAAACAUUCCCCAGCAACUCAAAUGAAGCAGAGUUGCCAGCCAUCUAUGGAUCCUAACUAAAUUGGUCCUUGUAAUACUCGGUAUUAUUUGCCAAGAUAUUGAAAAACCUCUAAACAGUGAGAAGCUCCCAGCCCCUUUUCUGUGUCUCUCAUCACCAGCUGCUGUGCCCUGAGGACACCCAGGCAGCCUAAGGAGAGGCCCACAGGUGAGAAACUGCAUGUGUGAGCUGAGCUUGGAAGUGGAUCUUCUAUGUUUUGCCAACAGCCACGUGACUAGUUUUGGAAGCAGAUUCUCCAGCCCCAGCUGCACCUGUGCCAGAGGCACCCAUUAAGCCGCACCUAGUUAAAUUCCUGACCCACAAAGACUUUGAAAUCAUAAAUGUUUGUUGUUUUAAGCUGCUAAGUUUUGAAGUAAUCUGCCAUGUAGCAACAUGAAACUACUUGGACCAAAUAUGUGUUUUUCUAAGCACAGGAAUAUUCACACUUUAUUAAACUUGAGUAUUCCAACAAUAGGAUGGAAGUCCAAGUUUUAUUUCUUUGCUGGGACCCUCACAUGCAUGUAUCACAUAUGUAUCAUUAAAAAAUGAAGGACAAAUCUAA
rnacentral:lncRNA from 1 species